rnacentral:rRNA from 1 species
AUGAACGCUGGCGGCGUGCCUCAUACAUGCAAGUCGAGCGAACAGACGAGGAGCUUGCUCCUCUGACGUUAGCGGCGGACGGGUGAGUAACACGUGGAUAACCUACCUAUAAGACUGGGAUAACUUCGGGAAACCGGAGCUAAUACCGGAUAAUAUAUUGAACCGCAUGGUUCAAUAGUGGAAGACGGUUUUGCUGUCACUUAUAGAUGGAUCCGCGCCGCAUUAGCUAGUUGGUAAGGUAACGGCUUACCAAGGCGACGAUGCGUAGCCGACCUGAGAGGGUGAUCGGCCACACUGGAACUGAGACACGGUCCAGACUCCUACGGGAGGCAGCAGUAGGGAAUCUUCCGCAAUGGGCGAAAGCCUGACGGAGCAACGCCGCGUGAGUGAUGAAGGUCUUCGGAUCGUAAAACUCUGUUAUUAGGGAAGAACAAAUGUGUAAGUAACUAUGCACGUCUUGACGGUACCUAAUCAGAAAGCCACGGCUAACUACGUG